GAUCCUGGCUCAGAUUGAACGCUGGCGGCAGGCCUAACACAUGCAAGUCGAACGGUAACAGGGAAGCAGCUUGCUGCUUCGCUGACGAGUGGCGGACGGGGUGAGUAAUGUCUGGGAAACUGCCUGAUGGAGGGGGAUAACUACGUGGAAACGGUAGCUAAUACCGCAUAACGUCGCAAGACCAAAGAGGGGGGACCUUCGGACCUCUUGCCACUCGGAUGUGCCACGAUGGGAUUAGCUAGUAGGG
rnacentral:rRNA from 1 species